rnacentral:sRNA from 1 species
GAAGCUAGCAACAGGGAAUUUAUUUCCUCU